rnacentral:rRNA from 1 species
UGGUGGGUUGCCUUGUCAGGUUGAUUCCGGUAACGAACGAGACCUCAGCCUGCUAAAUAGUCACGGUCGCUUUUUGCGGCCGGUUGACUUCUUAGAGGGACUAUUGGCGUUCUAGUCAAUGGAAGUAUGAGGCAAUAACA